CCCGGACCAAGGCGCCCGCCGGAGGACCAACCAAAACUCUUUUGUAUACCCCCUCGCGGGUUUUUAUAUCUGAGCCAUCUCGGCGCCUCUCGUAGGCGUUUCGAAAAUGAAUCAAAACUUUCAACAACGGAUCUCUUGGUUCUGGCAUCGAUGAAGAACGCAGCGAAAUGCGAUAAGUAAUGUGAAUUGCAGAAUUCAGUGAAUCAUCGAAUCUUUGAACGCACAUUGCGCCCGCCAGUAUUCUGGCGGGCAUGCCUGUCCGAGCGUCAUUUCAACCCUCGAACCCCUCCGGGGGGUCGGCGUUGGGGAUCGGCCCUUUACGGGGCCGGCCCCGAAAUACAGUGGCGGUCUCGCCGCAGCCUCUCCUGCGCAGUAGUUUGCACACUCGCAUCGGGAGCGCGGCGCGUCCAUUGCCGUAAAACACCCAACUUUCUGAAAUGUUGACCUCGGAUCAGGUAGGAAUACCCGCUGAACUUAAGCAUAUCAAUA
rnacentral:rRNA from 1 species